CUGAGCAUGCUCCAUGGAGCUUGUGGAAGGAGCAGAGGGGAAAGAAGGAGAGAAGGAAGGGGAGGAGAAAGGAUGAAGAAAGGAUGAAGAGAGCAGAAUGAGUCUCGCAGUGCAGGGGUGCUUUGGCAGCCCCCGAGAAAAGGAGCUGCACGGCAGGAGUUGGGACUGACAACGCAGAUGCAGCGUGACAUCGGAAUACAAAGGGCUGGAAUUACAUGUGCCUAUUAUCAGGAAGGAGAAGUCAUUUGACGAGGAGCUCUCUGACAGCUUGGAGAUGUACGCCUUUUAUUCCCUUUUGGUCUACAUCUUCUACACUGUGUUCAGGAAGGAGGAAGAGGAGGAAGCCCUGGAGGGAGCCUGUAGAGAUUCCACAGAUGAGCCAGGACCUGUUUCCAUGGAAACAGGGAGCAGGAGAAAGGAUGGCCACGCCCCCAGAGCAAGAAAAAAAUCUUGUGCUCGAUUUAGUGAAUCAAGCAGCAGCUGCAGUGACAGCGAUGAACUGAGCGAUGAGGAUGAGGCUGGUGCCUCGGACAUCCCCGCCUGCACUCCUCUGGCGGCCUUUUUGUCUUUCAAGCAGGAGACCGAGAAGAGGAGAGCCUCCCAAGUUCCUCCGGAGGCAGCAGGGAAGUUGCCGGAGUCUCCCCUGGUGGCAGUGAUGUCCCACUUGCUGAGCUUUCUGGAGCAGUACUCCCACUUCCAGCAGCUGCAGCAGCAGGCCGACCAGUACCGGGUCCAGCUGAAGAGGCACCGCGUCCAGCACCGCCGGCAAAUGAAGGCCCUUCGGGCUUCCUACCGCCAGCGCAUCCGAGACAAGAACAGCAUCAUAAGUAGCCUGGAGGAGGCCAUCGGUCAGCAGCAGAGUCCCAGCCCACGGAGUGAGGGUGAGUCUAGCGGUGACGUAGGGACUCCAUCUGGAGUCCACAGGCUGGUGGAGUCUCUGUAUGGGCUGCAGGGUGAGAGGAGUAAACUGAGAGGAGAGCUCCGUCUGCUGCAUUCACAGCUGGAGCAAAAAGAAAGAGACCGGCAUAGCCGAAUACAGGCCUUUCAGGAGCAGAUUGAUGAACUAAAGAGCUGCAUAGAGGAGCGUGAGGAGGAGCUGUUGAGACUGAGAACAGCCACUGGGGCCACGGACUCAGAGAAGCGAGUUCUCUGUCUGGCAGCUGAGAACGAGAGCCUGAAACAGAGCCUGGGCGUUACGCAAGGCCUCCUGCAGCAGCUCUCGUCCAUCCCGUCCCAGUCCAGCACCGUGCUCAUCAAGGAGAACGAGAGCCUUCGAGGCAGGGUUCAGCAGCUGGAGAUCUCCCUGCAGCAGCGGGCCGAGCAGCUCUCGCAGCUGGAGAGGAAGAGUGAGCAGAGGGAGUGGAGAAGAGGAGAGGAGCUGAGAAAGCGAGAAGACAGAGUGAGGGAGCUGGAGUUGGAGCUGAAUAAAGAAAGAGGCAAGGAGCCAGUUGUGAAGUACGUCACACAGACGGUGGAGGUGGAAUCGCCAGCCACAGUGAAGCAGCUGACCAAAGCCAGGCAGAGGAACGAGGUGCUGUCUGAAAGGCUGUGCGGUCAGAAUGAGAGGUGCAAGCAGCUGGAGGAGCAGAUCAGGAAGUCAGAUGAAUACAGCUGCAACCUGCAGCACAAGAUUGCGGCGUACGAGCGAGAAAUCUGCAAACUCCGGGAGGAACUGCUGAAGGAGAUCGGCCACUUGGAGGAGAGGAAGGAGGAGGCCGUGAGAGCCGCCGCCAGCUGUUCUGCUGAACACUUCCAGAGCCUGCAGGAGCAAUUCUUCACUCUGCAGAAGCGUCUAACAGCCCUCCCUCCGUCCCUGCGCUCCAUGAAGACCGACUACGCCAGUCUGAGGAGUCAGGUUCGAAACUUCUCCGAGUUUUACGGCGCAGCUAUCAGCGACGCCAAAAAGCAGAUUUCAGCCGCCAUCAGCGAGAUGUCUGAAGCCAACAGGGAUCUUCUGGAGAAAUACAGGAAAGAAGUGGCGCUGCGUAGGAAGUUACACGAGCAGCUGGUGGAGCUGAAAGGCAACAUCCGUGUGCUCUGCCGGGUCAAGCCCGUGCUGAAGGAGGACCAGCACGAGGAAGGUCAGUCUGCUGUGGUGACGACUGACCCCAACAACGAGUCCUCCCUCACUGUGCUGAGCAAGGGAAAGGAUCGCAGCUUUGAGCUGGACAAGGUCUUCCAGCCGCAUGCCACUCAGGACGAGGUCUUCCAGGAGAUCGAACCUCUUGUGACGUCUUGCAUUGAUGGCUACCAUGUUUGCAUAUUUGCAUACGGGCAGACAGGCUCUGGAAAAACCUACACCAUGGAGGGAAGUGUGGACAACCCAGGAAUUAACCAGCGAGCUCUGAAACAUCUCUUUAGCGAGAUAGAAGAAAGGAAGGACAUGUGGUCAUACACAGUCACAGUCAGCUCUGUGGAGAUCUACAAUGAGGUGCUGAGAGACCUGCUGAGUAAGGAUGGAGAAAAGUUGGAUAUAAAGAUCAACCCAGAUGGAACGGGACAGCUGCAUGUACCGGGCCUCAGGGUUAUAGAAGUGAGGAGCUUCCAGCACAUCAAGAAGAUUUUGGCCACAGCUCGACGGAACAGGAUCACCUUCGGGACUCAGAUGAACCAGCACAGCUCACGCUCCCACGCUCUGCUGUGCAUCACCGUCCAGGGCACUGACCUCGCCUCUGGGACCAAAACCACCGGCAAGAUGAACCUGGUGGACCUGGCCGGCUCUGAGAGGGUCUGGAAGUCUGGCGCCGAGGGGGAGAGGCUGAAGGAGGCCCAGAACAUCAAUCGCUCCCUGCUGGCGCUCGGCGACGUCAUCCAGGCUCUUCGUGGUCGGCACACUCACAUCCCCUUCAGGAACUCUCGCCUCACGUACCUAUUGCAGGACUCCCUGGGCAAAGGCAGCAAGACCGUCAUGGUGGUGCAGGUGUCUGCCCUGGAGAGCAACGUGGGCGAGACGUUAUGCUCUCUGAAGUUCGCGCAGAGGGUUUGCAAGGUGGAGCUGGGUCCCGCAGCCAGGAAGAUCGAAUCUGGUGGAGGACAGUGGGACUGAGGGCCUUGAACGCACCAGGGAGUUCUACUACAGCGGCUGGCAAAAGCAUCCGCACUGCAAAAAGGGAACUAAAAUGUGUAGCCACAGUUCAGACCUCUGAGGAAGACGCUAACAGGCUCUUCCAGCGUCAGAAGACCAGAAACACUCCAGGACCAGACGACGUCUCCCCCUCAUGCCUGAGAGCCUGUGCUGACCGACUGGCCUCCAUCUUUCCCUCAGAUCUUCAACAAGUCUCUGGAGCUGUGUGAGGUUUCCUAUCGCUUCAAGCCUUCUGCUUCAUCCCAGGUCCCCCAAGAAAGGCACCGUCGUGGGAUUAAAUGAAAACGGCUCGCUCAAGCUAGUGGAGAUGAAAACACCUCCUCACACCGCCUCCCAUCACCAUCCUCCAGCUGCUGUCAGCUUCUACACCGACGUCGUUCUGUCUGUUUUGUGCACAUCCGUCGUCGGUCGUGUGGUUUUGUUUUUCCCACUGAACAGGGCAGGAACAAACAAUUAGGUCUGCAGAGAAAAUAAUCAGGGUGACCUUCCGUCCGUCCAGGACUUGUACGGGUCUAGGGUCAGGAAAAAGGCUGCCCAUCCCUCUGCAGACCCCACACAUUCUGCCCAGAGCAAUUCUACAGUGAGCAAAAACCAGCCGCCACAGAGACAGUGUCUUCCCCCAGGCUGCCAAUCUGACACUUAACUGUGUCCGAUUGCCCAGAUUGAUAGUCUUUACAAAUACCGGUACAUAAAAAAA